rnacentral:rRNA from 1 species
GACGAACGCUGGCGGCGUGCUUAACACAUGCAAGUCGAACGGAAAGGCCCUGCUUUUGUGGGGUGCUCGAGUGGCGAACGGGUGAGUAACACGUGAGUAACCUGCCCUUGACUUUGGGAUAACUUCAGGAAACUGGGGCUAAUACCGGAUAGGAGCUCCUGCUGCAUGUUGGUGGUUGGAUAGUUUCGGCUGUUGGGGAUGGGCUCGCGGCUUCUCAUCUUGUUUGUGGGGUAGUGGCUUACCAAGGCUUUGACGGGUAGCCGGCCUGUGAGGGUGAACGGGCAAAGAGGGACUGAGAGAGGGACCAGAAUCGAACGGGAGGCAGCAGGGGGGAAUAUGGCAGAAGGGGCGGAAGCGUGAUGCAGAAAAGCCGCGUGCGGGAUGACGGGCUACGGGUUGUAAACAGAUUGCGCAUGUGACGAAGCGUGAGUGACGGUAAUGGGUAAAGAAGCACCGGCUAACUACGUG